UGAGACAAAGGAUCUCUCAGCAAGGCUAGU
rnacentral:piRNA from 2 species